UUGCGUCUCAUUUAGCUGGGUUGGAUCAUUCUGCUAAAGGGGUGUAAGCCGUACAAGCUCGAACUCGUUUUUUGUGUCAUGCUGGCGUCCUGGCCUUGAUGCUCCUACGUGGGAUGGCGUUGGCGAGCACGCAUUUAGCGCUUCAAGUUCUUGUUGAUGUGAGACACUAUGUGCGAGGUCGACUCCUGUGUCGCAUUUGUGUGCCUACAGGAUGCAGGUUUUCAUGCAGCGGUCAAAGAAGGACGCUGACGAGGCUAAGCUACUACCACCGACCCGGAAAAGAGCGCCUCUUUUCCUACACGGUCGGCGACGUUAUUGACAGGACAGCGGAAGCACGGGGUGAAAAUCUCGCCGUUGUUUCCUGCCACCAGUCCAUCAGGAAGACGUACGCGGAGUAUAAGAAGGACAUCGACCACUUUGCAGCCGCCCUGAUGUCAUUGAAGUUGGGCAUUGGCUCCAGAAUAGCAAUUAUUGCACCCAACAUGUACGAAUGGGCUGUCGUGUUGUUCGCAGCUGCCAAGGCAGGUUUAGUAUUGGUCAACGUGAACACGACCUACGAAAUUCACGAACUGGAACACUGCCUGAAUCACACGGACUGCAAAGCCGUGAUACUGUCGGAGCAGUUUUCGAAACAGGACUACUACAAGAUGCUCGUUAAAUUGGCGCCGGAGUUAGCAUCGAGCUCUUUUGACAAUAUCAAGAGUGCAAGGCUACCCAGCCUGAAGCACGUCAUAUUCAUCGGAGAAACAGCCAAACCGGGCACGAUUAGGUUCGCCGAUCUGAUGGAGUCUGUUACGAGCGAACACCUACGUGCCCUGCGCUGUACUGCCUCCAAGUUGCAGAUGGACGACGCUGUCAACCUGCAGUUCACAUCAGGAACAACAGGAAAGCCCAAGGCGGCACAGCUGUCCCACUUCAACAUAGUAAACAACGCCUAUCUUGUAGGCCGGAGGCUCAACCUACACAAGCAGGGGGAGGUGAUUUGUCUGAACGUUCCAUUGGUUCACUGCUUUGGUUGCGUCGCUGGCAUAAUGUCGGCGGCCAUUUUCGGGUCCACGGCGGUAAUGCCGGCUCCGAGCUUCAGCGCAGCUGCUGCAUUGGAGAGCAUUACAGCAGAAGAGUGCACUUUCAUCUACGGCACACCAACCAUGUACAUUGACAUGCUGCAGCAUGUGGGACACGGUUGUUACGACGUUUCAUCCGUUCGAACAGCGGUCGUGUCUGGUGCACCUUGCCCGAACCACUUGACAAAAGGCAUCACGGAAAAGCUGAACGCAAAACGCAUCCAUGUUUUGUAUGGCACAACGGAAACGAGUCCAAUAGUUACAGCGAAUGACCCGAACGAACCUGUGGAUCAGUGGAUAACUUCGGUGGGAAGGCCCUUGGACCACGUUGAGGUAAAGAUUGUGGACGAUAAAAACAGGAUUGUUCCCGCCUCUCAGAGGGGCGAGCUGUGUGUCCGAGGCUACGCGGUUUUCAAGGGCUACUUCAAGGAAGACAAGAAGACAAAGGAAGCCAUACGCAAUGGCUGGUACCACACUGGGUGGUUGGUGUCCCGGGCGAAGAACAAAAGGAGGAAGUAUGUGCGUGGAUUAAGCUGAAGCCGGGAUUUAGCCUCAGCCAGGAGGACAUAAAACUUUUUUGCAAAAGAACGCUGAGCCACUACAAGAUUCCAAGAUAUGUACUGUUUGUGAGCGAAUUUCCCAAGACAGUAUCCGGAAAGGUCCAGAAACACAUCAUGAGGGAAGAGAGUCGCAAGAUACUACACUUAUGAGUUUUCUCCAACGUUCUUUGUACGUUAAUAAAGUGUCAAAUAUU
rnacentral:misc_RNA from 1 species